UACGUAGGGAGCAAGCGUUGUCCGGAAUUACUGGGCGUAAAGGGUGCGUAGGCGGCUUGGUAAGUCAGAUGUGAAAUACCCGUGCUUAACAUGGGGGGUGCAUCUGAUACUGUCAGGCUUGAGUGCAGGAGAGGAAAGCGGAAUUCCUAGUGUAGCGGUGAAAUGCAUAGAUAUUAGGAGGAACACCAGUGGCGAAGGCGGCUUUCUGGACUGUAACUGACGCUGAGGCACGAAAGCGUGGGGAGCAAACAGG
rnacentral:rRNA from 1 species